CAUUCUUGACAAUAAUAGUUCUUGUCAUGUACCAUUAAGUUGAGAUUUUUUAGAAAAAUUUCGGCACAAUAUUUUUGUUCAAUUUGUUAACGGGUUUUCAUUGAUCAAAGAGUUGAUAGCAAGGAUCGGUCUCGGUGUGGAUACGCAUAGAGUCUUCGCACUAUCGAAGAAAAUUUUGAAACAAGACUCUCUUCACCAGAUUUCUCAAUAUGACAGUCAUAUCACUGCGUGGAAUACUUGAGACCAACAAGUUGGUAGGACCAAACUUCGAUGAUUGGUACAGAAAUUUGAGAAUUGUUCUCAUGCAUGGAAAACUUAUUGAUGUGAUCGAUAAGCCUGCCAAAGAAGUCCCAAAAGAGAAUGAUGAAGAUGCCACCAAGAUUUAUCAGAAAUACUUGGAAGAAUGUCUUACUAUCAAAUGCAUCAUUCUCGCUUCGAAGAAUUCUGAACUACAGAGGAAACAUCAAGAUAUGGAUCUAACUGCAAUCAUUGAACAUCUUCAGAAGAUGUUUGGUACACAAAGCAGGACAGCAAGAUACCAGCUAUCUAAGGCUUUAUUUGGAUCCAAAUUGACUGGAAACUCUCCAGUUGGACCCUAUGUCAAUCGUAUGAUUGAUCUUAUUGAAGAACUUGAGAAGUUGGGGUGCAAAUUGGGUAAAGAGCUUUCUCAAGAUUUGAUCUUAUAGUCACUCUCUGAAAUCUUUUCACAAUUUGUUAUUAAUUUUAAUAUGCAUAAAAUGGAUUGUGAUCUUCAUGAGAUGCUUAACAUGCUGAUUGAUUAUGAGAAUCAACUUGCAUCUGAGAAGAAGAAAGGAACUGUCAUGUUGGUUGGAAACCCUUCUAAGAAGAAGGGUAAGGGUAAAAAUAAAGAAACUAAUGUUGAAUGUUUCCAUUGUAAGAAGAUAGGACAUUGAAAAAGAAACUUCCCGGAGUAUCUUGCAACUCUAAAUGAUAAGAAACAAGGGGUUCCAACUAAGUAGAAGGUUGAAGAAAGGAGAAAUUAAUCUACAAGUUGGAAAUGGUGCAAAAGUUGCGGCCAUAGCUGUAGGAUCAAUUUCUUUAAUAAUGCCUACGGGCAAAGUACUUAUGUUGGACGAUUGUUAUUACGUUUUUGUUUCGAACAUAAUUUCACCUUCUAUAUUAGAUAAACGUGGUUUUCACAUAAAUAUAGGCAAUGGUAUUUGUUCAA